rnacentral:rRNA from 1 species
AUGGCUCAUCAUCGACGCCGCAGCUGCCUGCGCCGUGUCCUCACCAUCGCCGGCGGUGUGUCAGCCGGCCUCCUCCUGCUCGCCGGCGGCCAUACCUACGGCCACGGCCAGCUCUUCUCGCCGUCCUUGCUGCCCCUCGGCCUCGGCGCCGACUGCUCGCCGUCCUUCGCCCCGCCCCCCUUCGCCCCGCCGCCCUCCGCCCUCUCGCCGCUGCCGCCCUACCUCCUGUCGGACUUGGAGGCCGACGCCUCGCCCCCGCAGCCGGAAGCCAACCUCCCGCGGCGCCUUCUGCCCAUCCACCGAUCGCCGCCCUGCCUCCCCUCGAACUCGGAAUCGGGGGCCGACCGCUCGCCGCCGCAGCACGACGACGCUGAUGCCGUCUUGCUCCCGGACUGGGAGGUCCUUCUCUUGGCUGACGCCGAGCUUGGCGGCGGCGCGGGCAAUGGGAAGGCGACGUGCGCCUUCCAGGGUGGGGCGUCAUCCCCGGCGAGCGCGCUCGGGAGGCUGCCGGGGUCGGCCCGCCACGGCUACGUCUGCCCAAUGCCCGAGCCUGUCCGGAGCCUCCAGCCGCUCCAAGCGCCAUUGCUGCUCCCCACCUCCGCUGCCUCUGCUGAUUGCCCUGGCCGCACGUCGUUGCUGAAUUGGAGCGGCCCGAUCGCCUUCAGCUCUGCAACUCUCGACAGUGGCGAUGUCCUUAUCUUUGCAAAGGGCGUCAACCAUGCCGCUGGCGGAGUCCGGUGCAUCUAUCGCCACUGCGGCGACGCCCAUGGCCAUGGCGUGGUGGCCUCCUUCCCGGCCAUCACGUCCGUACAGCAGGUUACCCGGUGCCCUGCUCCACCGAUGCAUCUCAACUCCAGGAACGCAGAGUUGCGUGUCACGGUGGCAGCCACCGGCGAAGAUCCCAUCCCCUCAAUUGCAACUUAUCGCCCACAGCAGAGUCAGAGUGGCUUGGUGGUGACACCGGCCCGAAAGAAGUUGAUUUGCGCUUGCACUAUGGUCCACAAUGUGUCCAAGUUUCUUCGCGAGUGGGUGCUGUACCAUGCCGCUGUCGGGGUGGAGCACUUCUUCCUGUAUGACAAUGGAAGUCAAGAUGACUUCGCAGAUCAAGUCGCUCAGUUGAGGUCAGCCGGAAUCAGCAUCACUACCGUGCCUUGGCCGUGGAUCAAAAUGCAGGAAGCUGGCUUCUCCCAUUCUGCUGCAAUGCACCAGAGUUCUUGCAAGUGGAUGGCAUUCAUAGAUGUCGAUGAAUUCAUUUUUUCGCCAAACUGGAAAGGAUCCGAGAAACCGUCAAAAUCAAUGCUUGAAGCGCUUCUUCCCGUCGAUCCAGACGUCGGGCAGGUGUAUCUGUGGUGCUUUGAUUUUGCUCCCUCUGGCCAAACAUCACACCCACAGGAGGGUGUCAUCCAAGGAUACACAUGCCGUCGAAAGAUUAUUCUGCGGCACAAAUCGCUCGUUCUUCUUGCUGCGGUGAACCAUUCUUUGGAGAAUGCAAUACACCAUUUCACGCUCAAGGAUGGUUUUAGAAGCAUACGGAACUUGCAGGCGCGGGUCAACCAUUAUAAAUACCAGGCAUGGAGUGAGUUCAAGCAUAAGUUCAAACGGCGAGUGUCCGCCUACGUGGCUGACUGGAGAGAUCCGAUCAACCUUCAGUCCGCUGAUCGGGCCCCCGGCUUAGGACUUGACGGAGUUGAACCGGUUGAUUGGGCGCAAAGGUAUUGCGACGUCAAGGACAAUCUGCUUCAGCAGUUGAGCGCAAGAUGGUUUGGUAAUGGAUUGGCAACUCUGGGAUCUCAGGAUACUUAG